rnacentral:rRNA from 1 species
CAGCCGCCGCGGUAAUACGUAGGGUGCGAGCGUUAAUCGGAAUUACUGGGCGUAAAGGGCGCGUAGGCGGGCGAAUAAGUCAGGGGUGAAAUCCCAAGGCUCAACCUUGGAACUGCCUUUGAUACUGUUUGUCUUGAGUCCGGGAGAGGUGAGUGGAACUGCGAGUGUAGAGGUGAAAUUCGUAGAUAUUCGCAAGAACACCAGUGGCGAAGGCGGCUCACUGGCCCGGAACUGACGCUGAGGCGCGAAAGCGUGGGGAGCAAACAGGAUUAGAUACCCGCGUAGUCCCUGUCUCUUAUAC